rnacentral:rRNA from 1 species
UACGUAGGGUGCGAGCGUUGUCCGGAAUUAUUGGGCGUAAAGAGCUCGUAGGCGGUCUGUCGCGUCGAAUGUGAAAACCCGGGGCUCAACUCCGGGCUUGCAUUCGAUACGGGCAGGCUAGAGUUCGGUAGGGGAGUCUGGAAUUCCUGGUGUAGCGGUGAAAUGCGCAGAUAUCAGGAGGAACACCGGUGGCGAAGGCAGCACUCUGGCCGAAUACUGACGCUGAGGCGCGAAAGCGUGGGGAGCGAACGGG